rnacentral:rRNA from 1 species
UACGAAGGGGGCUAGCGUUGUUCGGAAUUACUGGGCGUAAAGCGCGCGCAGGCGGUCUUCUAAGUCAGUGGUGAAAGCCCGGAGCUCAACUCCGGAACUGCCAUUGAAACUGUUAGACUUGAGGACGAGAGAGGUGAGUGGAAUUCCCAGUGUAGAGGUGAAAUUCGUAGAUAUUGGGAAGAACACCGGUGGCGAAGGCGGCUCACUGGACUGGUAUUGACGCUGAGGUGCGAAAGCGUGGGGAGCAAACAGG